rnacentral:lncRNA from 1 species
AUGGAGGCCUUUGCGGAUCUAUUUUUCUCUCACUGUGUUACUCACCUCGCUCCUCUGUGUCACAAGGAAGGAGAGAGAAAAACACAAUCCACUGCCAGGGAUGAGUCAAAUUCCAAUAGAGUCUUUGCUGCUGUUGCUUGUGCAUUCCCAAGAUUCAGACUGCAGAGCCAGGCCUUGCUUGCUUCUUUCUUCUCUUUCUCCUUUCUUUUUGGGGAAGGGUGGCGGAUGGAACUGCGUUUUGACUGGGUUCUUUCUAGGGUAGACAAUGAGGAAAGUGACACCCUCAGAGCUGGCUCAGGCCCCGGCUCAGCUCUGUGUCAGACGCAGGGAGGAGACACAGCAGGAGACGGCUCAAGAUCCUGGCCUUAGAUGUGAUCUCUCGGAUGUGGGUACGCCGGGCUCACUUGGAAAGGCCCAGGGCUAUCUUGUGAGCGCUGUGAUCCGGGCACAUGACUCGUGUUUCUUGGACCUUUCUCUAAUCCGUAGGGAGAGUGACUCCGCUUCCUCACGGGGCUGAUUGGGGGAGUAAGCGCGUGUGAGAUUACAAUGGAAAAUACUUGACAUUCUCCCCAUGCCUUACUGAUACUCAUUCAUGUACGCACAUAAUCCUAAUGAGUAAGUGGAAGUUUUCCUAAGGAGACACUUCUAUGUGUGCUCUAGGAGGCAUUUAUGCUGUGUUUCCUGUAAUAGCCAAAUAUAGAAAACCGUGUCCAAUAUCUGUCUUAGUCUGUUCAGGCUCCUGUAGCAAAAUAUUGUUUAUCAACAACAGAGUUCGUUACUCAGGGUUCUGGAGGUUGGGAAGACCAUGGCCAAGGGGUCGGCUGACUCGGUGUUGGGUAAGACCUUGCUCUCUGCUUCGUGCUGUGUCUUCCCAUGAUGGACAGGGAACAAGCUCCCUGGGUCUCACUCGAAAGAGUGCUAACCUCAGGCCGGGUCUUCCCCGUGUGUGAUGGGGACCCACACACUUGGACUAUCACGUGCCUCUCCCCAGAGUGCAUGCACAUAUUCACAGGAAGCUGGGAUCUGUAACAGAGCUGGGAGUCGAACCCAGACAUUCCGAAAUGGGAUGUGGAUGUCCCAGCCUGGUGUCUUAGCUGCCAGGCCAAAGACUGUGUUGCUUAAUUCAAGAGUACCUGCUACAUCUGCAGUAUCAGCUGACUUGGGGAAGGGCUUUGUUGUUUUUUUUUUUUAUUUCUCUGGGUUUCAGUUUACUUCUUUGCAAAAUGAGAGCUUUGCACUAAGAGAUGUUUCAUGCUCUUUCCACUAAUCUUUUACUGUGAGAAAAAUAUAUAUCAUAAAAUUGAUGAUUUUAACCGUUGUCAGCGUUCAGUUCUGUGAUACCACAUCCCUGUUGUGUGACCGUCACCAC